UACGUAGGGGGCGAGCGUUGUCCGGAAUUAUUGGGCGUAAAGAGCGUGUAGGCGGUCCGGUAAGUCCGCUGUGAAAGUCCAGGGCUCAACCCUGGAAUGCCGGUGGAUACUGCCGGGCUAGAGUCCGGAAGAGGCGAGUGGAAUUCCCGGUGUAGCGGUGAAAUGCGUAGAUAUCUGGAGGAACACCGGUGGCGAAGGCGGCCUUCUGGACAGUGACUGACGCUGAGACGCGAAAGCGUGGGGAGCAAACAGG
rnacentral:rRNA from 1 species